GUUUUGUGAGCUUUCCAUUUGCUACAUUACGAGGUUCCAGGGAUAAGUGCCCAUAUCGUUUGAAUUUUUGGAUCCUCUGCAGCAGGGAGCUUAGUGCCUGACACUUGAGCUAUAAUUCUGCACUGAGAAAUCACCAUCCGCCAGUUUAGGAUUCUUGAUGUUCACAAUACACCAUGGAACUAGGCUCAGAAAGAGGCAACGUGAACUACCCACGGCACCAACAGCCAUGUGGAGAAGAGUUUGAAGAUAAACUUAAGCAACAUUUCCUGAACCUGGUGGGAAUUUCUAGAAGAUGUUUCAAAGGAGUUAGCAUCUGCUUUUGUUCCUGACAACUAAAGAGGAAUUCGACAGAGGGAAAAAAGGCAAGGCUAUUCUAAUAAGAGAAUAAAAUUUGAGGCCCUGGCCAUCAGGACCACCUCUCACCGACCGACCACCGCACCAUGCAGUCUGGCGCAAAGGAUCUCGAGCCCGAGGAACAGAUUUCCCUCUGAAACACACUCAAAGCUUUGGAGCAAAGGCUCCAAAGAGAUACUGAAAAAGAGCACAUUUCACGUUUGGUCGUCUCCACCCAGGCUUCUGCACCCUCCCGUCCUCCAGCUUGAAUACAUCGCAUAACCUAUAGCAAAAGCAUGUGAGCUUUUGGGAAUCUUUUCCAGAAUAAGCCUUUGAAUCUGAAGAACUUUACCCAUCUCUACAUGUUCAGCUGGGAUUUACCCACGGUGCGGCUCAAGCCGGAGAAACUUUAACUCUUCGUUGGUAGAUUUAAUUCACAAGCAUUCUAAAAUGAGACUGAACUCAUAAGGCUUAUUUUUUAAAAGAAAUCCCAUUGAAUGUGUCAGCUUGUGCCUGUCUUCACACAUGAAGGGUUCCUUGAGGGAACACGUCACGUUAAACCGAAGGUGGAGAGGGGAGGACUAUAAGGAAUUGCCAACUCAGCACUUUCAGGAUACGGGGUUGUGGCUGCCCUGGCUCUUGCAGAAUUUCCAGAGAAAAGCCAGUCUGCCUCUUCCAGCUCCCUUUCUACCUCUAGCCCUUACCACUUAUACAUCUUUAAUUGCAGCCUUGAGGGUUGGUCCUGACUUUAUUUAUUAGGAGGAAGCCAAGGCUCAGACUGGAAGAAGCAAGGCCGAGGCUUACACAACCAACCAGCAACAGGCCUCUGCAAUUUCCCGGCCAGGGCUCAUUGUCAUUGCUCUCCUGACCUGUCUAUCAGACCUGGGAAAAGGGACACAAGAAAAAGACGAAAUGGCCAUCCUUCUUGGCGUGGAGUCACUUGAUCUGGCUUUUCAUCACUGACUUGUCAGGGAAAGAAGCUUAUCCUGAGGGGGGAGAAAGACACAAGAAACAUGCAAUACUUCCAAAACACUGACUGGAAAACUUACACAAGGUUAAGAGAUCUUAGUGUAUUUUUACAAGGUAUGAUUCUAGAUGAGAUAAUGCCUAAACAGAAAUCUGUUUCUUUCCUACUUUCAAUCUCAGUGUUACUAGCCUUGUAAAUUUCUUUGUCUGUGACUCUCAGGUGCUACGGGUCUCUGCCCCUGGGAAAUGCAGUUAGCUCACGACUGAGUUCUAAGCUGUAAUUGAGAGAACACUGGAAUUGUUAUUAAGGUAAAAGGAAGCUUACUGAUGUUCUGGGCCAUAUUCCUCAGUUUACAGAUGAGUAGUGUGGGGCUGAGAGGGGUUAAGCCCUUAAUCCACAUUCACAGACUACUAACUCUACAAAUCUUCCAUUUGGCCAAACAUGUGCAAGGAGCUUUCUACAAAGCAUCUCACUUUGUAAUAUGUAGGUGAUUUUCAUGAAUAAUACGUGGAUUGUGCCCAACUCUGGGAGGCUGAAUGCUUAUUGUAACCUUGGUUUAAAGAAUCCACAGGCAUCUACAUGAGGGAUGGAUCAUGGCUGGUCCUCACCAUCUUUUGUUUCAUGGAAAGACUGGUACACCGACAUCAGGGGAAUUUUCCAAGAUUUCCAUGAUGAAUUAGCAAAGGCACAAAGACAGCAGGCUGCUCCGGAUGACACGGAAUACAGGAAUCCCAGUUCUAACCCCAUCUCUAAUCAUGUGGAGGAUUUUGGGCAAAAGCUGCCUCCAUUCUGAGUGUCAGUUUCCCCACCCAUAGAAGGGAUUUACUUGACGAUGUUCUAAGAACAUUUCAGCUGUCAUGGUCUCAGGAUAUAGAAUCCAAGAUUCAGGGCUAUUUCAUGACUAAAAUAUGAUUGUGUGAAGCCAGAAAUCAAUUACUAUAGUAAUAUACCUCCAAGCUUUUCAAACUGCACAGAAUAAAUGAGUUUUGCUUCCAAAACACAAAGACACAAUUUGUCACUAGCUAUUUAUAUACAAACUAUUAAUGAUAAUAAAUUUGAUUUCACUUUUCCCCAUAUCACUUUCUCAACCUCUUGGUAUCUAUAAUCACUUGUCUGCUCCCAAGGAAAAACACAUAAAACAACAGAUAAACUAAUAGCAGACAAAUAGAAGACUCAGACACCUGAUAUCUCUAUCACUCAUUCGUUUUUUGAGGUAUAGGAAAAAGAAAUAAUAUGUAUCAAACAUCUAUGUCAUACCAUGGAAUUGAUACAAUUCCAUAUAAGAUCAGUAAACAAUGUUUUCUAAUGUCCCUUUUACAGAAGGCAAAACUGAAGCCCAGAGAUAAAAUGAUUUCCUUAGUAUAUAUAAAAUUGCUAAGUAAUAAAGUUUAGGUUUGAAAUUAGUUUUCCUAACUCAGAUUUCCCACAAUUCUAAGUUACAAACAUGAAAUAACAGCCAUAUUGUUAUUUAGAAUAAUUGAUUUUUCUGCAUGUGAAAGAAAUAAAAUAUCCAUACACUCUUUUGAUUUCCACAAAGAACAACACCAUAGCUUUCUUGGACUGCAACAUCUGAACAUCUCUGAAAACAGAUCAAAGAAUAUAAAACAUUAGUGUGACUUUCCUUAAGAAUUUAGGAGGAAACAGAUAAUUCAUCCAAAAUCAUCCUGAUCGGAAAUACAGGGACCAUGCUACUUUAUGCAUGCACCAGGAUUUUGUCUUGGCCCCUUCCACAUUAGUCAAUCCUGUGAUUCUCUUAGAAAUAUAAACCAAUACAAGACUGCGUUUGAAGAACCAGUUUCUGAUUCAGGGUCUCCUCUAAGCCUAUGGACCAACUUGGGAAUUAAACCCCACAAGUUCACCUGUCCAUUUCUUGGCAGCCUUGGGCACUUUCAGCACCCUUCAAGGCCAGUGCUAUGAAGACAAACAGGAUUUAUCCCUGAACUAAUCUUGAACCCAUAGCCCAGACCAGGCCUAGACCCCAAGAAAACAUAUGGGCGGCUGCAUUGUCAUGUGCCUGAUUCCAGGCUCACAGGGAUAAAAGUCAAGC
rnacentral:lncRNA from 1 species